rnacentral:rRNA from 1 species
UACGUAGGGGGCAGCGUUGUCCGGAAUUAUUGGGCGUAAAGCGCGCGCAGGCGGUUCUUUAAGUCUGGUGUCUAAGUGCGGGGCUCAACCCCGUGAUGCACUGGAAACUGGGGAACUUGAGUGCAGAAGAGGAGAGCGGAAUUCCACGUGUAGCGGUGAAAUGCGUAGAUAUCGUAAGGAAGACCAGUGGCGAAGGCGGGUCUCUGGACAGUUCCUGACGCUGAGGCACGAAGGUCAGGGGAGCAAACGGG